rnacentral:rRNA from 1 species
UCCGGGGGGGGCAAGCGUUGUUCGGAAUUACUGGGCGUAAAGGGCUCGUAGGUGGCCGACUAAGUCAGACGUGAAAUCCCUCGGCUUAACCGGGGAACUGCGUCUGAUACUGGACGGCUUGAGUUCGGGAGAGGGAUGCGGAAUUCCAGGUGUAGCGGUGAAAUGCGUAGAUAUCUGGAGGAACACCGGUGGCGAAGGCGGCUCUCUGGGACGGUACUGACGCUGAGACGCGAAAGCGUGGGGAGCGAACAGG